rnacentral:lncRNA from 1 species
CAGGUACUGAGCUAAAUGACUUGUAUGACUAUUUUGUCCUCAUAAUAACCUUUUGCGUUUGGUACUAUCAUCUUCACUUUGCACUUAAGGAAAUGGUGGCUCAUCAAUAUUAAAUAGCUUAGCCAAGAUCCCUUAGCUAGUAAACAUAAGAGCCAGUAGUCAGUUCCACGGCUUCAGAGAGCCUAAUUUUAGUUAAUUGCCAUCUCCUUGGUCUUCUGAGUCUCAACAUUGAGCUUCUACAUCUUAUUUCUUGGCAUAGGCCUUAAAGAAGGAUAGGUUAUGUUCUUAUUUUUUUUUCACACAUUCAUUCAAUAAAAGAUAGUGUGAAUAUCUUAAGAAACUGUAGAAAUGAAAGGAGAAUAUAAAAAACAGUAGUAAUUAUAUAAGGAUGCUGGAUACAUAAGUUAUUUCUAUAUGUUUCUAUAUUUUAUACAUUUGUAGCAAUAUUGCUAUAUUACUUCUAUAAUGUAUUUGUUGUUAAAAAGCAACAUAAGGUUAAGGACUGGUUACACCUAUCUCAGCAUCAUUCUUCCUGUAUCUAUUCCAGGACCUACCCUUCCGGAUUCCAUAAGAGAAGUUCCAAGUGGAAUGUCCAAGCCAGUGGAAUGUACUAAAAAUACCAGACGAGAGAGACUGGUUUUUCUCUAGACCUGCUGUGCAGCUGCCAUCUUCAGACAUCUCUCCUCCACCCUCUUGAACUGGAUUCAUCCUUUUCUGCACCUCAUUUCUCUGCCUCUUCUGGUUUGUCUAGACGGACACAAAGCAGCAGAGACCUCAAACCUUGUGUAUGUCAUUGGCUCCUCCAGAAUUGCUCUGGAUGUAUCACAAUACAGUACAACCAAGCUAUGAAAAUGUUGAAUACAGCUUGGCAAAAACACAUCCAAGGACACGGCAUGUAAUUAUUAUCCUCUUCCAACUAUUUCUGGGAUUUGGCAUCACUCUCUCCUCAGCCCUGAAUUUGGAAGUUGGAAUGUCUUUGCAUAUGUACAUCAUCAACACUUAAGCCAAGACUCCUUUGGUAUGUUGAAUAUUUUCCAUUGGUACAUACCUCAUUCUUCAUAUUUGUGAAUCACUGUCCAUUAAAUUCCUACUACUAUGCAGUUAAAUGUAUUUUACUUUUAUAAAUAAAAUGUGUAAUUAUAUAGACU